rnacentral:rRNA from 1 species
CCCCGUGAAACUGACGGUACCUGCAGAAUAAGCACCGGCUAACUACGUGCCAGCAGCCGCGGUAAUACGUAGGGUGCAAGCGUUAAUCGGAAUUACUGGGCGUAAAGCGUGCGCAGGCGGUUCGGAAAGAAAGAUGUGAAAUCCCAGAGCUUAACUUUGGAACUGCAUUUUUAACUACCGAGCUAGAGUGUGUCAGAGGGAGGUGGAAUUCCGCGUGUAGCAGUGAAAUGCGUAGAUAUGCGGAGGAACACCGAUGGCGAAGGCAGCCUCCUGGGAUAACACUGACGCUCAUGCACGAAAGCGUGGGGAGCAAACAGGAUUAGAUACCCUGGUAGUCCAAGGGCGAAUUCCC